rnacentral:lncRNA from 1 species
GAGCCCUGAAAUCAGCAUUCCCAGAGGAAAGAAGAUGGCCAUCUGGGCUUGGCUUCCGGCUCCCCCCAUCUGGCUGGAACACACAUCAGUCACCCCUGUGUAACCUCCUCUGUGCCUUUCCCAUGGAGCACUGUGUCAUAUCACAAGUAGAACUACAAGAAGAUAUUUCUCCUCAGGGCAGAGGCUGGGUCUUCCGAUUGAAUCUCCCUUCUUUCUUCAUUGAGAUCCUCUUCUUCUGGAAGCUGGUUUCACAUGGUGGCUUAGAUUUUUCCAUCUUUGUAUCUAGCACCAUUUGAAAUCAGUGUUUUAGGAGUAAGAAUUGCAGCACAGCCAAGGGUGGACUGCAGAGGAACUGCUGCUCAUGGAACUGGCUCCUCUCCUCUUGCCACUUGAGUCUGUUCGAGAAGUCCAGGGAAGAACUUGAAGAGCAAAAUACACUCUUGAGUUUGUUGGGUUUUGGGAGAGGUGACAGUAGAGAAGGGGGUUGUGUUUAAAAUAAACACAGUGGCUUGAGCAGGGGCAGAGGUUGUGAUGCUAUUUCUGUUGACUCCUAGCAGCCAUCACCAGCAUGAAUGUGUUCGUAGGGCCUUUGAGUGUGGCGAUUGUCAUAUUCUGUUGGAUAACAAUGUAUUGGGUGUCGAUUGUCAUGGGGCAGGGGAGAGGGCAGUACACCUGGAGGACCAUUUUGUCCACAUCGACACCAUCAGUCUGCUCUUAGAGGAUGCCCUGGAGUAUUCGGCGUUGAUUGCGGGGCACCCGAAAUCAGACUUGCCACCUGGACUGUCGAGGUGCAGACCCUGGGAGCACCACUGGCCCAUCUCUUACACAGGCUGACCGAUUUCUCCUGGUGUUCAGAGUCUGUUUUUGUCUAGCACCAUUUGAAAUCGGUUAUGAUGUAGGGGGAAAAGCAGCAGCCUCGAAGCCUCAUGCCAACUCUGGGCAGCAGCAGCCUGUGGUUUCCUGGAAGAUGGAUGGGCAGAGAAUAGGGAAGGAAGAUCAUGCUUUUCCCUACUAACUUCUGUAACUGCAUGUAUGAUACAUUAUUGCAGAGGUAAGAGAUAGUUUAAUGGAUUUUUAAAAACAAAUUACUAUAAUUUAUCUGAUGUUCUCUAGUUGCAUUUUGCUGAAAUGUAGUGCUGUUCUAAAUUCUGUAAAUUGAUUGCUGUUGAAUUAUCUUUCUGUUGAGAAGAGUCUAUUCAUGCAUCCUGACCUUAAUAAAUACUAUGUUCAGUUUAUCA